GCCCUCGUAGAUCAGUGGGAGAUCUCCUCCUUACAAUGAAUGGUACUUUGUAAAAGGUUUACGGAGGCGAUGUGGGUUUGACUCCCACCGAGGGCA